rnacentral:rRNA from 1 species
UACGGGGGGGGCAAGCGUUGUUCGGAAUUACUGGGCGUAAAGGGCUCGUAGGUGGCCAACUAAGUCGGACGUGAAAUCCCUCGGCUUAACCGGGAACUGCGUCCGAUACUGGUUGGCUUGAGUUUGGGAGAGGGAUGCGGAAUUCCAGGUGUAGCGGUGAAAUGCGUAGAUAUCUGGAGGAACACCGGUGGCGAAGGCGGCAUCCUGGACCAUACUGACGCUGAGGAGCGAAAGCCAG